UGGCGAACGGGUGAGUAAUGCAUCGGAACGUGCCCAGUCGUGGGGGAUAACGCAGCGAAAGCUGUGCUAAUACCGCAUACGACCUACGGGUGAAAGCGGGGGACCGAAAGGCCUCGCGCUAUUGGAGCGGCCGAUGGCUGAUUAGCUAGUUGGUGGGGUAAAGGCCUACCAAGGCUACGAUCUAUAGCUGGUCUGAGAGGACGACCAGCCACACUGGAACUGAGACACGGUCCAGACUCC
rnacentral:rRNA from 1 species